CUGAGUCGUAAAAAACUCCCAACCCAUGUGAAUUUACCUUUGUUGCCUCGGCAGGACCUACCCGGUACCUACCCUGUAGCUACCCUGUAGCCUGCCGAUGGACUAUUAAACUCUUGUUUUUAAUGUCAUUCUGAAUUAUCAAACUUAAUAAGUUA
rnacentral:misc_RNA from 1 species